rnacentral:rRNA from 1 species
AGCGGAGGAAAAGAAACUAACAAGGAUUCCCCUAGUAGCGGCGAGCGAAGCGGGAAGAGCUCAAAUUUAUAAUCUGGCACCUUCGGUGUCCGAGUUGUAAUCUCUAGAAAUGUUUUCCGCGUUGGACCGCACACAAGUCUGUUGGAAUACAGCGGCAUAGUGGUGAGACCCCCGUAUAUGGUGCGGACGCCCAGCGCUUUGUGAUACAUUUUCGAAGAGUCGAGUUGUUUGGGAAUGCAGCUCAAAUUGGGUGGUAAAUUCCAUCUAAAGCUAAAUAUUGGCGAGAGACCGAUAGCGAACAAGUACCGUGAGGGAAAGAUGAAAAGCACUUUGGAAAGAGAGUUAACAGUACGUGAAAUUGUUGGAAGGGAAACGCUUGAAGUCAGACUUGCUUGCCGAGCAAUCGGUUUGCAGGCCAGCAUCAGUUUUCCGGGAUGGAUAAUGGUAAAGAGAAGGUAGCAGUUUCGGCUGUGUUAUAGCUCUCUACUGGAUACAUCCUGGGGGACUGAGGAACGCAGUGUGCCUUUGGCGGGGGUUUCGACCUCUUCACACUUAGGAUG